CUUAUAGCCCACUAUUGUACAUGUUAGCUAUAUGAUGACUACAAAUGAUAUGAAAUCUUGUUAUAGCCAACAGUUGGCUAUACUAUUGGAAUUGCUCUUAAGGUGGGGUUGAUUGAUCCAACAGUGAAAGGAACACUAAAUGUUCUGGCCUCCUACAAGCAAGCUUCUUAGUUGACCUUGCUACUGAAUCCCAUACAGGAUACGCCCGAACCAUACAAAGAUGAUGCGUGGAAUGCUGAUGUUGCCCCUUUGGCUACCUCGAUGUUGCCCAGAGUGGAUAGGAGGAAGAUAGUUCAUCGUCAUGAUCGAGUCCACACGUGUCUUUGCUCGAGUCAGGAAUAAAUAUUUGCUCAGUGAAAUUUACUUGGGAUGAUUAUGUGUUUUCUAGUGUGCUUUGCCGUGAACGAAGAUCAUAUAUUUUUUAAAUUUGUGAUGUAUCUUGGAACCUUUUAUGCUCAUAUCCUACUCUUU